rnacentral:rRNA from 1 species
UUUAAUUCAAAGAGGGACGGGCGAUUUGUGCAUGCUUAUCUUGUUUUCAAUAAAGAUUUAUUUUCCUAAUUUUAGUACUAAGUUCUUUUUCUAGUUUUAUUCUUAUUUCUUUUCAUUUUUUUUUUUAUUUGUAUCCCAUAUGGUUCCCAAACAUGCCCUCUGUCUUGAUUUGUAUUUCGAUUUUUUUUUUACAUUUCUAAAGAUAAUCUCUCAAUUUUAAUUGAAUACAAUGAUAUAGAAAAUUAAAGUUAGGGUUUGCUUAAUCGUGGGUUAUCUGUCAUACUACAGGAUCCCCUAAUUAGAUUUAGCACCGCCAUUUUCUUUAAUUUUCAUUUAUUUAAUUACUUCUUUCAAUUUAUUUAAAA